rnacentral:rRNA from 1 species
UGAGGAACAUGACCUUCGGCGGGGGAUAGCCGGCCCAACGGCCGGGUAAUACCGCGUACGACCACAUGGGGACAUCCCUGAGUGGUGAAAGCAGCAAUGCGCCGAUGGAGUGCCUCGCGGCCUAUCAGCUAGUUGGUGAGGUAACGGCUCACCAAGGCAACGACGGGUAGCCGACCUGAGAGGGUGAUCGGCCACAUUGGAACUGAGACACGGUCCAGACUCCUACGGGAGCAG